rnacentral:rRNA from 1 species
ACAGACGUGUUUAUUUCAUCGCUCGCUUCGCAAACAAUUUAAAGAUAACGGUGCUUUCAAGCAACGGUAUCUUGUUUACAUUUUGUGCGCUUAUCAGCAAUAAAGUUUUAUUGCUUUGUUUACGUCGUUGCUGCGUGAGCAACAGGCGUUCGUGUGUGUGUGUGAAACCGCCAGCUUCUACGUGUGUGUGUGUGUGUGCGUGCUAUUUAUAUAUUAAAUAGAUAAGCGCACACCUGCGGGCGAUGCCGCCACGCAAAAAGAAGCCCGCUGAGAAGGGGACCUUUGAAAAUUGUAGGAUGACGUCGGAAGAUGAGGUGACCUAGUCGGAGUCGUCAUCGAACAGCGAGGUAAGGCGGUCGACAAGUGCGGCGGCUUUGAGGAAGCGGAAAGGAACAGCUGUCGAGUAGAUGAAGGUGAUAACGGGAGCUUUAUUGCAGCUGGCACUCAAGGAGAGAGCCACGGGGUCGCUCAUUUGCAAGUUAGUCGAUUAUACAGGGCAGUAUGAGCAGCUCCUGUUCGCGCUUGUGGCGCAGAAUGAGCGGCUGCAGGGGCGCUUGGAGGCCGUUUGCGGGGGUGCAGGCGUUUCGCAUGAGUUGCAUGUUCCAGCCGGCCAAGCGCGGGAUUCGUCGGUGAACGCCGCCAGAGGGGGUCCCAGGUCGGCAGUGCCGUCUACCCCGGAGAUGCCUCGGCCAGUUGAGACAUGGUCCUCGGUUGUGCGCAGCAAGGCUGCUGGCAAAACCGCUAAGGACGUGGUUGAGCAGGUGGUGAAGGAGGUAGGUCCCUCUCUUGGUGUGCGGAUACGUGAGGUGAAACCUCUAAGGGAUGGAGGUGCGUUAAUUCGGACUCCAUCGGUCGCCGAGCGUGAGAAAAUUGUGGAGAACACAAAGUUCAACGAGGUGGGAUUGGAAGUGUGUGUGAAUGAUAAAUUAGGGCCGAAAGUUGUGGUUCAGGGCGUUCACUCGCAGAUCACCCCUGACGAGUUCAUGGGUGACCUUUACGAGAUGAACUUAAAGGACAAAAUGUCACUUGAAGCCUUUAAGAAAGGUGUCCGGAUGACAAGUAAGCCAGAGUUGCGUCAUACAACCGGGUUCCGUGACCCAGAUUACGGAAGAGGCUUAGGUAGUCCUCGUGCCAAACCAAGGUAGAAGUCACAACCAAACAGUCGUGUCUUUAAUUGGUACCUGCGGAAUUGAUGUUCCAAGGGGGCGGUGAUUGACACUUGAAUUAAUCCUAUACUAGGAACCGUGAGAUUAAGCCAUCGCGGCAGGUGCUCACGUUAAGCCCACUGACUUUCAUGUCCCUAUCUACUAUCUAGCGAAACCACAGCCAAGGGAACGGACUUGGAAUAAUGAGCGGGGAAAGAAGACCCUUUUGAGCUUGACUCUAAUCUGGCAGUGUAAGGAGACAUAAGAGGUGCAGAAUAAGUGGGAGAUAUUAGACUUCGGUUUGGUAUCGACAAUGAAAUACCACUACUCUUAUUGUUUCCUCACUUACUUGAUUAAAUGGAACGUGUAUCAUUUCCUAGCCAUUAUACGGAUAUAAUUAUUAUGUCUUAUGGUAUUGGGUUUUGAUGCAAGCUUCUUGAUCAAAGUAUCACGAGUUUGUUAUAUAAUCGUAAACAAAUUCUUUAAUGAGAGAAUGCAUUUAUGUAUUAUUGACUUAAAAAUUUGGUAUAACUCCAAUUACUCAGGUAUGAUCCAAUUCAAGGACAUUGCCAGGUAGGGAGUUUGACUGGGGCGGUACAUCUCUCAAAUAAUAACGGAGGUGUCCCAAGGCCAGCUCAGUGCGGACAGAAACCACACAUAGGGCAAAUGCUGACUUGAUCUCGGUGUUCAGUACACACAGGGACAGAAAAAGCUCGGCCUAUCGAUCCUUUUGGUUUAAAGAGCUUUUAACAAGAGGUGUCAGAAAAGUUACCAUAGGGAUAACUGGCUUGUGGCGGCCAAGCGUUCAUAGCGACGUCGCUUUUUGAUCCUUCGAUGUCGGCUCUUCCUAUCAUUGUAAAGCAAAAUUCACCAAGCGUUGGAUUGUUCACCCAUGCAAGGGAACGUGAGCUGGGUUUAGACCGUCGUGAGACGGUUUUACCCUACUAAUGACAAAACGUUGUUGCGACAGAAUUCCUGCGUAGUACGAGAGGAACCGCAGGUACGGACCAAUGGCACAAUACUUGUUCGAGCGAACAGUGGUAUGACGCUACGUCCGUUGGACUAUGCCUGAACGCCUCUAAGGUCGUAUCCGUGCUGGACUGCAAUGAUAAAUAAGGGGCAAUUUGCAUUGUAUGGCUUCUAAACCAUUAAAAGUUUUUAAUUUGUUUUAUUUACGACAAUGGAUGUGAUGCCAAUGUUAUUUAUAACAUAGUAAAUUGGGAGGAUCUUCGAUCACCUGAUGCGGCGCUAGUUAUAUUUUAAAACAUUAUUU